rnacentral:snRNA from 1 species
CAGCCAUUGUAAAUAAAUCUUAA